rnacentral:lncRNA from 1 species
AAGUCCUUUCUCCGUUUGCAUUGGGUUCACACAAACAAAACACAACAAAGCACAAGGCAAUAGUAUAUUCACAAUAAUGUGCUCAAGUGAGCAAAAGGCAAAUUACAUUAACAUAAACAUGAGCUCAAGUGAGCAAAGGGCAAAGACAAAUGAAUUAAUGAGCAAGAAAUUAAAUUGCAUUAAAGUAAAUUGCAAGAAUUAAUGCUUGAAUUAAAAGUUAGAGAUUAGUAGUUAGGGUUAGUGUGCCAUAAGGCAAUUUAGCGCUACGUUAAGCAAUCGUAAGUGGACUAAUGUAGUAGUCACACCUAUCUGAGGCCAGUCAAUAAAACUAUAGGCAACAAACACAAGUUAGAGAUCAUGACUAGU